CCUACGGGUGGCAGCAGUGAGGAAUAUUGGUCAAUGGGCGCUAGCCUGAACCAGCCAAGUAGCGUGAAGGAUGACUGCCCUAUGGGUUGUAAACUUCUUUUAUAUGGGAAUAAAGUGCAGUAUGUAUACUGCUUUGCAUGUACCUUAUGAAUAAGGAUCGGCUAACUCCGUGCCAGCAGCCGCGGUAAUACGUAGGGGGCAAGCGUUAUCCGGAUUUACUGGGUGUAAAGGGGGCGCAGACGGCGAUGCAAGCCAGGGGUGAAAGCCCGGGGCCCAACCCCGGGACUGCUCUUGGAACUGCGUGGCUGGAGUGCAGUGGGGGCAGGCGGAAUUCCUGGUGUAGCGGUGAAAUGCGUAGAGAUCAGGCGGAACACCGGUGGCGAAGGCGGCCUGCUGGACUGCAACUGACGUUGAGGCCCGAAAGCGUGGGGAGCAAACAGGAUUAGAUACCCGGGUAGUC
rnacentral:rRNA from 1 species